AUACUUACCUUAGGCAAAUUCCUGGCGAUCAAGUUGGCCAGGAUUUCGGACUAGAGGUUGGCAUUGCACAGCGCCGACGUUCUCGACUGCUGCCUACGGGCGGGGCCUAUAA